AAAUGAAUAGACGGGGACCCGCACAAGCGGUGGAUGAUGUGGAUUAAUUCGAUGCAACGCGAAAAACCUUACCUACCCUUGACAUGCUAGGAACCCUGCUGAGAGGUGGGGGUGCCCGAAAGGGAGCCUAGACACAGGUGCUGCAUGGCUGUCGUCAGCUCGUGUCGUGAGAUGUUGGGUUAAGUCCCGCAACGAGCGCAACCCUUGCCGCUAAUUGCCACCAUUAAGUUGGGCACUUUAGUGGGACUGCCGGUGACAAACCGGAGGAAGGUGGGGAUGACGUCAAGUCCUCAUGGCCCUUAUGGGUAGGGCUUCACACGUCAUACAAUGGCGCAUACAGAGGGCUGCGAAACCGCGAGGUGGAGCCAAUCCCAGAAAGUGCGUCGUAGUCCGGAUUGCAGUCUGCAACUCGACUGCAUGAAGUCGGAAUCGCUAGUAAUCGCGGAUCAGCAUGUCGCGGUGAAUACGUUCCCGGGUCUUGUACACACCGCCCGU
rnacentral:rRNA from 1 species